CCCAGGUCACAGUAAAAGGGAAAACACUUAUGGAUAUGGAGAUGCCACAAAAUUAGAGUAUUUGGGAUCGAAACCAUCACCUCACCUGCCUGGACUCACAAUGAGCAAUACUCUGGGAUCUUUUGAUAUUUGUGGAUUACAUGUUACUGAAAGCCAAUUUACCUGAUUCUGAAAAAUACCAAUGCUUAUUUCGAUAGAAAAUUUCAGCCUUGGAACUACACGCAUCGAACUGCUUUCCUCUGACUUCAAUCUCAGAAACACUGUUCUUAAAUAUAAAAGGUAACAGAUCACCC
rnacentral:lncRNA from 1 species